rnacentral:misc_RNA from 1 species
UUGUGGAGGAGGACGCCGAAGGUGGGGCUAAUGACUGGGGUGAAGUCGUAACAAGGUAGCCGUACCGGAAGGUGCGGCUGGAUCACCUCCUAACAGGGAGACAACAAAAUGUUUAAUAUUAUUAUUUUGUCACCUUAGGUCGAUCGGUAUCUCACGUUCUUAAUUUAUUAAGAAUUUCAAUUUCUAAGUUUUUCUAGGUCACACCCAUUAUUUUUCCUGGGCCAUUAGCUCAGGUGGUUAGAGCGCACCCCUGAUAAGGGUGAGGUCCCUGGUUCAAGUCCAGGAUGGCCCAUAUCUCUAUGUUGGGGGUAUAGCUCAGUUGGUAGAGCGCCUGCUUUGCAAGCAGGAUGUCAGCGGUUCGAGUCCGCUUACCUCCACUGAUUACCACCUCUUCCAUAAAUCUGUAGAAAGGAAAUGUUUUGAGUUGUGAUCAAAUUCUGAACGAAUCUAGCUUCCUAAUGAAAGCAUUAAGAUGCUGGACUCAUUGAAUUAAUUUCAUUGUUUUCAGAGAACCUUGACAACUGCAUAGAUUAUUUUUUAAAGACAAUAAGCAUCUUUAAUGAUGCAGAUUUAUUAUUUGUGCAAAUGCAUUAAUAACAAUUCUAUUAAGCUGAUGCUUCAAUUUUGAAGUUAUUGGUCAAGCUACAA